GAAAUGCGAUACGUAAUGUGAAUUGCAGAAUUCAGUGAAUCAUCGAAUCUUUGAACGCAUAUUGCGCUCUUUGGUAUUCCGAAGAGCAUGCUUGUUUGAGUAUCAGUAAACACCUCAAAGCUUUUGAUUUAUUUUGAAAGUUUUGGACUUGAGCAAUCCCAACACCAAUCUUUUAAGAUCGGCGGCGGGUUGCUUGAAAUGCAGGUGCAGCUGGACAUUCUCCUGAGCUAAAAGCAUAUUUAUUUAGUCCCGUUAAACGGAUUAUUACUUUUGCUGCAGCUAAUAUAAAGGGAGUUUGACCGUAUUGGCUGACUGAUGCAGGAUUUCACAAGGGUCGGCAACGAUUCUUGUAAAACUCGAUCUCAAAUCAAGUAAGACUACCCGCUGAACUUAA
rnacentral:misc_RNA from 1 species